rnacentral:rRNA from 1 species
AUUGCACGCUGGCGGCCGGCCUCACACAUGCAAGUCGCGCGAGCGGCGGACGGGUGAGUAAUGUCUGGGAAACUGCCUGAUGGAGGGGGAUAACUACUGGAAACGGUAGCUAAUACCGCAUCCCAUCAGCUGUGCCCAGAUGGGAUUAGCUAGUAGGUGGGGUAACGGCUCACCUAGGCGACGCUCCCUAGCUGGUCUGAGAGGAUGACCCGCAACACUGGAACUGAGACACGGGCCAGACUCCGACGGGAGGCAGCAGUGGGGAAUAUUGCACAAUGGGCGCAAGCCUGAUGCAGCAAGGCCGCGUGUGUGAAGAAGGCCUUCGGGUUGUAAAGCACUUUCAGCGGGGAGGCGUUACCCGCAGAAGAAGCACCGGCUAACUCCGUGCCAGCAGCCGCGGUAAUUC